AUCGCUUCUCGGCCUUUUGGCUAAGAACAAGUGUAGUGUCUGUUCUUAUCAGUUUAAUAAUCAUAAUCCUGAACAUUUGUAUAAUAUUAUUAUUAUUAUUAUUUUGAGAUGGAGCCUCGCUCUGUUGCCCAGGCUGGAGUGCAAUGGUACGGCCUCGGCUCACUGCAA
ensembl:snRNA U2 U2 spliceosomal RNA